AAAAUUACUAAGGUGACUGGGAAGGCUCGAGAGCACUGGAGUUUCAGUUUUAGCAUCAUUCUUGGAACAGCUGACUCUAGAUACCCAGGAGGAAAAGAUGAAGAUCUCCCAUUAACUGAGGUCCAAAGGAUGUGUCAAGGAUGGCCUGUGAUGUCUGAGAGUUUUUGUCAGGCCUGGGAGUACAUUAGAGCAGAAUGAGCCAAAGGAUGCCAUGAAACCUGAUGUAUCCUCACUUUUGGAUCUUUGAAGUGGCAGUGUAUUUCAAGGAAGCACUGGGACUUGUGGCCACAUCCUCCAAAAAAAAAAAGGUCUCACGAAUUCCGCUC
rnacentral:sRNA from 1 species